rnacentral:rRNA from 1 species
GUGGGGAAUAUUGGACAAUGGGCGAAAGCCUGAUCCAGCCAUGCCGCGUGUGUGAAGAAGGUCUUCGGAUUGUAAAGCACUUUAAGUUGGGAGGAAGGGCAGUAAGUUAAUACCUUGCUGUUUUGACGUUACCGACAGAAUAAGCAACGGCUAACUUCGUGCCAGCAGCCGCGGUAAUACGAAGGGUGCAAGCGUUAAUCGGAAUUACUGGGCGUAAAGCGCGCGUAGGUGGUUUUGUAAGUUGGAGGUGAAAUCCCCGGGCUCAACCUGGGAACUGCCUACAAAGCGGAAUGACUAGAGUACGGUAGAGGGUAGUGGAAUUUCCUGUGUAGCGGUGAAAUGCGUAGAUAUAGGAAGGAACACCAGUGGCGAAGGCGACUACCUGGACUGAUACUGACACUGAGGUGCGAAAGCGUGGGGAGCAAACAGGAUUAGAUACCCCAGUAGUCC